rnacentral:rRNA from 1 species
AGCGAACGCUGGCGGCAGGCCUAACACAUGCAAGUCGAACGAUCCUUCGGGAUAGUGGCGGACGGGUGAGUAACACGUGGGAACGUGCCCUUUGGUACGGAACAACUCAGGGAAACUUGUGCUAAUACCGAAUGUGCCCUUCGGGGGAAAGAUUUAUCGCCUUUAGAGCGGCCCGCGUCUGAUUAGCUAGUUGGUGAGGUAAAGGCUCACCAAGGCGACGAUCAGUAGCUGGUCUGAGAGGGUGAUCAGCCACAUUGGGACUGAGACACGGCCCAAACUCCUACAGGAGGCAGCAGUGGGGAAUCAUGCGCAAUGGGCGAAAGCCUGACGCAGCCAUGCCGCGUGAAUGAUGAAGGUCUUAGGAUUGUAAAAUUCUUUCACCGGGGACGAAAAUGACGGUACCCGGAGAAGAAGCCCCGGCUAACUUCGUGCCAGCCGCCGCAGUAACAC